CCUGAACACACUUUGUUAGUUCCAGCAAUGCUGGGAUUAAGAAAGAAGGAGGAGUCCUGCGACCAUCGUGGAUGCUUGGGCUGAGGUAAUUUGUUUGAAACCAAGGUAUGUCUUUAUGUCUUGAUCUCGAUGAGAGGCAGAUGGUUGGAGAUCCUGAAGCACUUUGGGGGCCGCCUGCACUGCAGAUGUGGUUUCCUGGAUACUCCAUGGAAGGGUAUUAAAAACAAAUCUCACUGCGACUGUGCAAAACCAAGCAAUCAUCAUCAACAAGAUUUAAUAUGCGUCAUGGCAUUAGGAGUUGGAAUAAUGCUAACAACCUUCAGAGAACUACCAUGAGUUUUACUAAAGAGAUGGAUUACGUGCUUGGGAAUCCUUCACCAUUACAAAGUAUGAUAAAUCCGUGUCCUCCUUGGGCUGGUGCAGAUCAAGACAGACGUGAGACUCCAACAAUAAGGCAGCACAUUGCUGUACGGUUUAUACUUACAGAUACAUCCGUGGCUGGAGACUCCACCGCUUUGCUGGGCAGCCUUCAACUUCAAAAGCUUUUAAUGAGAUGGAGGAGAAGCUGGAGGCAUUGGAAGAGGACAGCCCUCCUCAGAGUGAAAGAAGGUGAAACUCAAUCACUUCUAAUAGAAGAAAGAGAACAGAGACUAACAUCUUACAGCUGAUAAAUUAAUUGUCAGGUACCUGUUUCAGAAGCCCAAGCGAAAAAGAAGCUGAAAUUACGUUUUCAAACAUGACAGAGAAGAAAAUUCUGCAAGCACUUACACGAAUAAAGAUGCAAGAUUUGCUACUCUGGAAAACCUUAAUAGAUUCCUAACCUAAAAUCUGCCUGCGUCUUUAGUGCUAUCCUGAGGCUGGGAAAUACAUCAACACCUACCAAUCAGCGAGAGGACACCCGUUUGGUGUGGGAGUCGUCAUCCUGGGGGCUGAAGUCCAGACUCGCUGCCGGCUGGAGCACCACGGAAACUGAGUGAAGAGUGACUUGUCCUGUGUUACACAUCUGAUGUCAGGCAGACCAGAUGGCCACAGUCCUUGCUGAAAGCCCAGGUUUUCCUACUAGCAACUGUGGGUGCCGAGAGUGACAAGAAACGCACAACUUGAAGCUCAACAGCCUGAUCAAAAUGCACCCAGUAGGGGCAUCUUUGCUAUCAUCGCUCCCAAGGUCUUGGAUCAGACACUUCUGUGGCAGAAAGGCACAUCCAUUACUCGAACAAGUGAGACAGUUGCUGUUUCCGAAGAAGGUAACUCAAGGCUUUCCUCACUUGAUGUGAUGUGUAAAGGCAAAGAGCAGUUCCAAAUGCGUCGGCGCAAGGCAUCUCUGGCUCUGCAACAUGCUGACACCUUCAGAGGUACCAACAUUUCACAGGCAAUUGCUGGGCUUCUGUUGGGGCUCUUGCUGUUACCCAAAACCGGGAGGAAGAUGCUCUUUACCCACAAGCUCUUGCUUUCUCUGACAGCAACUUAUAACCCCAGUAACUGGGCCGCACGCACAGCUUGGAGACAGAAGGGCUGUGGCUGCCAGUCCACAUUUCAUCACCUGAAGGAACCAAGUGUGGGGAUUACAGGUUAUGUCCUCAAAAUAGGUUGGCCGGCACAAGAAGCGAGUUCAUUACAUAAAGUAAUUUUACUGACCUCCCUAGGAAUGAAUUUAGCCGCUUAGUUUUUAGUAUAGAAAACAUCUGUGAACUCUGAGGGUUGUUUUUUUAAUUGAAUUUAUAUGCUCUUUUAUUGCUUUUAAUUUUUUUCCUUUUGAAAUGCAGCAAAACGCAUACAUUCCCCCUCCCCCCCCCAGUCUAAACCUGUGAGAUAAUCUGCUGCUGGUAUAUAUAAAUGAUAAAUAACAAUACUUAUUGAAAAGUCAAAGCACAUACAAAUCAUCAUUAGACUCUUCACUUGUAUGUUGUUGCUGAAUUAUGAACCAGGAGAAAUGUUCUCGUGGCCAGUGCCCUGAAAACUCCCAUAAUGAACUCCCAUGAUACACCGAAUAUUGUUGUCAGUAACGUAAAUAAAUGUGUUGUACCAUCUUGUGAAAAUGAAAUGGAAUGCAAAAUAUAACAACUGAAGGGGUGGGAAUUGUUGUUCUUUGGUAGUUGUUUUAUAUUUUGUAACUAUGGGAACUAAAUCAAUAUCAUGAUUCUUUAUGCACAAACAUUUUCAAUCUUGUUAUGGAAUUCUUAUAAAAUAUUCAAUAA